GCAGAGAGUGGGAAGCUCAUGCUCACAGGCCGCUCUGUAACCGAAAGAAGCCAUGGGGAAGGGAGAAUCCACAUAUUGGGAAAUGGUGCCCGAACCUCUAUUUCCUCCCUCCAUGGAGUGAAUAACUCCCUCCAGGGAAAGCGGUUUCAGGCAUGAACCAUGGACCACAGAGAAGCCACUGGAGCCUGGGGAGAAGCCACCAGGCCACUUGGAAGAAGGCAAGUGGUCCCCAGGUUACCUCUCAUCAGGCCCGGGACAGCCCUGCCCCGCUUCUUCAGCUCCCCGAAGCAGCCAUCGCAGACCUUGGCCAUCCUGUCCUUCAGCAACAGAAUUGGCUGAGUAAUGUGGAAUGUGGCCAGGAGACCAGCCAGAUGCACAGCCCAGUGAGCCCUGCCCUGCUUCUCUGUGCAGGGUGUGUGCGUGUGUGGAUAGCUUCCCAGACAGUCAUCUGACAGGCACUUUCCAAGUCCCUGCUCUGCACCAGGGAGGGCUUCUUGAGUGGCAAGAGCUACGCCUGGGCUGUGUGCCAGGUAGCUGGGUGGAGUUCUCAGAGUCUCCACUAGAUGCCGCGCCUACACCACAGGGUCUCACUAUGUUGCCCAGGCUGGUCCCAAACUCCUGGCCUCGAGUAAUCCUCCAGCCUCAGCCUCCCAGAGUGAUGGGAUCACAGGUAUGAGCCACCAUGCCCCACCUAAUAAAUGAUUUUAAUGAGAAAAUGCAUCUAUGAGAAUGCAUGUGCACGAGUGCAUUUAGAUCCCAUUUCACACUCAGAACCGCCCAGUGCAGGAUAAACCCCCACGUGAUAGGCAUUGCUGCCAUCCCAGGGUCAUGUGCUUGCUGAGAGGAGACACCCAAGCCCCAGAAGCCUUGCUGACCCCUGCCAUGCACGUCCCUGAUUGAAGAGCUGCUCUUGGCUGGAGCCAUACCUCCCUGGUUUCCAAGCCCCCGAGCGCUUGAGCUUACCUUGCCCGGAGAGAAGGAAAAGGGGAUGCUCUUUAAGGUCAUGGUCUAAAGCCAGAGAUGAGGAUCCCAGGCAACCUGAGGACCUGGAGAAAUGCAGACCUUUCUGAUAGAAAGGCCAUGCCCCCCUGUGGUCUAAAUGUUUGUGUCC